AAUAAAAAUAUUGGGGUUCUAUUGUCGGUGUCGGUGACAAACGACAAUAGAACUCCAAUAAUUGGAUCACAUUUAGCUGUGAUUGUGCAAUCAUCUAAGGAUUAAAAACUCAUUACUAGAUGUCGCCAGUGUCGCCUUGUUGUUGUUACAUCGUAAAACGAGGCAAAAUGGGCGAAAGAAUUGGUUGCUAAUUUAUACUUAUAUUCCUGUGAUUUCAAUUAUCAAAUUGAACUUCGUAUCUUGUAUGCAACUGUCAGUCAUUUCAACAAGUUGACUUAGCGCUUAGUCACUUUCCAUCCAAUAGACUCAUCAUGCUGUCAAAAGCCUAAAAUUAAAGUUUGAAGCCCACAUAUAGUGCAAUACAAAUCUGCUGAGAUAAGGAUCUUUUCUGAAUUUCACAAUUUUGGUGGUGUACCCUGCAACAGCAUGUUUUUUG